GAUGAACGCUGGCGGCGUGCCUAAUACAUGCAAGUCGAGCGAACGGACGAGAAGCUUGCUUUUCUGAUGUUAGCGGCGGACGGGUGAGUAACACGUGGAUAACCUACCUAUAAGACUGGGAUAACUUCGGGAAACCGGAGCUAAUACCGGAUAAUAUUUUGAACCGCAUGGUUCAAAAGUGAAAGACGGUCUUGCUGUCACUUAUAGAUGGAUCCGCGCUGCAUUAGCUAGUUGGUAAGGUAACGGCUUACCAAGGCAACGAUGCAUAGCCGACCUGAGAGGGUGAUCGGCCACACUGGAACUGAGACACGGUCCAGACUCCUACGGGAGGCAGCAGUAGGGAAUCUUCCGCAAUGGGCGAAAGCCUGACGGAGCAACGCCGCGUGAGUGAUGAAGGUCUUCGGGUCGUAAAACUCUGUUAUUAGGGAAGAACAUAUGUGUAAGUAACUGUGCACAUCUUGACGGUACCUAAUCAGAAAGCCACGGCUAACUGCGUG
rnacentral:rRNA from 1 species